UACAGAGUUGCAAGACUCCCUAAACCCACUGUAAACCUACCUAUAUCGUUGCUUCGGCGGGCGGCCCCAGGGCGGGGUCCAGGCCUGUUACAGGUGCCCGCCGACGGCCGUCGCAAAACUCGGUUGUUAUUUACAGGUGCUCUGAGUCAAAUGACAAAAUCAGUCAAAACUUUCAACAACGGAUCUCUUGGUUCUGGCAUCGAUGAAGAACGCAGCGAAAUGCGAUAAGUAAUGUGAAUUGCAGAAUUCUAGUGAACCAUCGAAUCUUUGAACGCACAUUGCGCCCAUUAGCACUCUAAUGGGCAUGCCUGUUCGAGCGUCAUUUCAACCCUCAGGCCCUGGCCGGCCUGGUGUUGGGGCGUCUGCGGUUGACCGCAGGCCCUGAAAGAUAGUGGCGGUGUCCGCUAGCACUCCGGGCGCAGUAGGUCUCUUUCUCGCCCAGGACGUCUUGCGGGCUGCCGGCCGUAAAACACCCAUUUUCUUUGGAAGGUUG
rnacentral:misc_RNA from 1 species